GGUGAGUGUCCCUGGGUUUCCGUAGCCAUCUUUCAGUUACCCAGACAAUUCCUCAAGGCAAGAAAAUGAAUGACAGGCUAGUCACAGCUUAGCCAUGAUGUUUGAGCCUGAGCCAUCUGUCUGCAUGGCACAGAUUCAUCUAUCUGUGCUUUAAGUGAGAUAUUCAACCGAGCUAGUACUCAGUUUUGCCUGGCUUCUGAUGGGAGUAUUUUAGGAAAGGUAAGUACUAUACAAACAAUUGUUUUCACCAUUUUCAAUGCUGUUCACAUCUGUAGUUUCCCUUCAAUUGCUUGCUUUGAAGGAAUAGAUGUGUUUAGGUCACUUGUGUUUCUCCUGUGUUUGAUAGUAAUGCUAAAAGCUACAUGGUGGUUUGCUACUCCCAAAGCUUACCCUUUCUAUACACUCCCUACUGGUUUGCAUUCAUUACAUAGCUAGUGUUGAUCCUUACUUCAGUCUUGGAUUAUAUAAUAUGAUGAUAUAAAGCUACUCAUGCUUUGUUUAUUGUGUGUGUGAGUAUGUAUACAUGUAUGUGUGUGCAUGUGUAUGCAUAUGAGUGUCCAUAUGUGUAUGUGUUGUGUGUGUGCACAUAUAUGUAUGUGCAUGUGUGUAUGUACUCUGUGUGUGUGCAUCUCUCUUUCUCUGUGUGUGUGUGAGUGAGUGUGUGUGUGUGUGAGUGUGUGUGUGUGAGUGUGUGUGAGUGUGUAUGUGUAUGUGUGUGAGUGUGUGUAUGUGUAUGUGUGUGAGUGUGUGUGAGUGUGUGUGAGUGUGUGUGUGUAUGUAGGGCCAGAGGACAAGCUUGGGAGUCUUGGUUUAUGCUUAGAUCAGAACUACUGGAGCAAGAACCCCAGGGAUUUGUCUGCCUCUGCCUCCCCAAGGAUAAAGCAUCAUUGUGUGGCUUCUAUGGACUAAGAUCCUUAUGUUCCCACAACAAGUAUUUACUGACGGAGUUAUCCUUAUCUCUCAAUGUCGGGUCUGAGUGGAGAAGUACUGUGUGUUAGACCACCUUUGAAGAAAUUUCCAUCUUGAAUGAUCUAUGGACAGGUUCAAAUUACCAAACCGCCUUGACUCAGUUUCUUGAGAGGAAGUGCAUGACACCUCAAUCCACCAGCUCAGGAGAAGCUCCAGUUCUGACAGCAGACCCCCCCACACUAGUAGCUUCCAAGCUACCUUCUACUGAUGCUCAAUAAUGCUCGCUAGAAAUCAAAACUGGUUUUGGUCUUGGUUUUCAAUCCAAAGUCUGUGAUUAGGUUUCUGCUCUGGCUUGAGAGCUGUUAGGAUUUCCUCUUGUCUCUUUCCUAGGAACCUGAAUCUCUGCCUGUGGGCUGGGCUAAAUCAACAUACUAACUAUUACUGCUUGACUCCUUCAUAUGUCUAAAAGUGUCAUUAUGUGAAGAGGUAACACUAGAAUUCCUUGAUGGACCACUUGGAGCAAAAUCAGGCCAAGGAGGAAGAGCAGAAGGGAGGAGGAAGAGGUGUGAGGGAAGCAAGGAAGGAAGGGGGUGGAGUGAAAAGAGAAGGAAGGGCAAGGAUUCUGCCAGGGUUCUAAGACACAAAGCAGUGUGGGUAUACUGGUCUAUAAAGCAGAGUAGCACUGCAGGAUGUCUUUCUAGGGAGACUGGGAAGUGAAAAGGUCUUGACCUGAGGGCUACAGAGGUCAGAAGCCUUCAGGGCAUGUGGCUUUGUAUUUGUUUCUGUGGAGAGUGUGGAGAUUGCCUGAAGUCAGAGAGUUCGCCACAAGGAUAACCAGCUUUUCACAUGAAUUCAGCUUUCAUUCAGAAAUCAAAGUCGAUCUUAGUUGUAUAGAUUGGUUUCCCCUGAGGUGGCCUACUCAGACUAGGUAAUGGAAGAGAGCUUAGCAAAAAUGGCUGCCUUUGAAGAGGUGGCCAGAGACAGGGGGUGAUCAACAGGUAGAGGUGAAGAAUCAGACAACUGGCAACAGUAAGAGCUGUUGCGCCCUGGGAAGUCAGUGCUACAACUGAGGGCUGGACCUGGAGCCACAGACUGGCAGUCACUGGGAGAUGGCUGUCAGGAGUGUCCCAGAGACAAACGCUCUGACCUCUCCUUCCUCUCACCCUCUGCUGCUCCCUCUCAUUGACCAAACCCAAUCGGAAGCCAAAGGAAAAGAGACAAAGGACGUGUCAACAACCCAAGAUAAACAAUAGUCAGGAAAGGAUGAGACAUUGGUCCAGAGGAAUAAUUCAAAACAAACAAACAAACAAACAAACAAACAAUUAACAACAACAAAAUCCAAGAUGUCAUAGAAGCUGGGCCCAGUGACAUGAGAACUGCUCUCCUGAGAAGUGCCUGUAAUAGUUGGAUUGGCAUUUCUAUUCCACAGAACAGUAUCCAACCUCAUCUUUCUGGUGGAGUUGCGGAACCUUCAUUGAGAAUCUUGCAGUAUUAGAAUCUCAGUCUCCCAGCUGUUGGGAGUGCCUGGGUCUCAGAGGUCUCCUGAAGUGUGGGUGACAUUUCUUGGCACCUUGUGUCCCUACCAUGCUGGGCUCUCCUCUUCGUUUGAGUUUACCCUCAGAACUGCCCCUUGAGUGCUGGUUUAUCCUCAUGGCUGCUGUGUCUUGUGAGAACUGGAAAGUCAAAUAUUCCUGAUGAGUCCUAAGAUGUGAUGAUCUGAGACCCCACAAGCAUUGCUACAGCUCCCAGCUCAGAAGCCCACCAUCAUGUACACAUGCCCCUGGAGUUUUGUCCUGUUCUGUGGCCUCCAUCUGUGUCCAAAUAAAUAUGCCCAACUCUAUAAGAAAUAGGAAAAUCAUCUACUUGACCAAAAAACCAAACAAACAAACAAAAAUGCCCACCGGUGGGCAUUUUAAAGCAGGUGCCCUUGAUUUCUGCUUAAGUGAACCGGAAUGUUCUUGUUGCAUAGCUGGUUUGCUCUGUGGUUAACAUUGGAGGAGAUGGUUUCCUGUUCACGAUAAAUGUGUGGUUAAGAUUUGUCAACCCAAAUUUGAUCUUGGCCUUAAUUAUUAAGUAGCACAUUUCCCUCUGCUUACAAAAAAAAAAAAAUCUCACCCUAAUCUUUUUUGCAAAUAGAACUCUAGUCAACUCACCUUGGUAUUGUUCGUGAGAACCACUGUGACAAUUUUGCUUGAAGCUGUCUGUUCCAGCCUCAGCUUGCAUAAGCAGAAAAACCCACAUUUCAAAGGCAGGGCAAAAGUGACUAAAUAGCAGGUUCUUACUUUUAACAGCAGUGCCAUGCAAGGUCCUGGCCCAUGGCUGCACUUUUUAAUAUGGACGAGCCUAGCUCCACUAUGUACAAAAAUGGAGGAGCAAAUGUCUAGUCUGCAGACUUGCUGCAGAAUUAAAUGGUUGUGAAUAUUUGAUACACUGCAAGUGGUUAUUGUGUUGUGGGACUGCACAACACUAAUGUGUAUGCUAUUCUUGGUCGUGUGGCACUCUUAACCUGUUCUGUUCCAUGGGUACCUUCAGACAGGAAGGUAAGAUUUGGAAAAGCUAGGCUACCUUUAACCCCAGCUUUGGAGCAUGGCUGUUAUUAAGACAAUGUGUUCUCUGGAGAGGCUGUUCCAAGAACUGUGCUCAACACCCAGAGACAAAGAUGACAGAGGAGCGUACCUUCUCCUAGGGGAGACAGGUAAGUGUCUGCCAUGCUUGUCAUGAAGUGCAGUGUGAAGUGUGGGGAGGGGAGAUUGCAGGACAUCGUCCCCUGAAAGUAGAGCCUGGGUUACAGUGAAAGACCUUGCCUCAAAAGCAAACCAGACCAGACCAGACCAGAUCAAACCAAACCAGACCAGACCAGACUAGACCAGACCAGACCAGAAUAAAGAAGAGAGAGGAGCCUUGCAGAAAUAGGUAGCACCUCAUCGACCAUGGUGUUUCUUAGUGCCCCAUCGAAGGCCAUUUCAUAGGAAACAAUGGCACAUGGACUUUUGUCCCUCAGGAUUAGGUAGGCAUCCUUACCUGUCUAGGCCUUUGCUUUGUCUCCUGUGACAGCGAACAGUUGCUGUAUGGUUUCAUGUUCUAUUUUAUUCCUGCCUUGGAGCACCCUAACUCAUCCUCCCUCCUUUUCUAGAAGGUUCCUGUGAACCAUCAUGACAUGCCAUUGGCUAGGUCCUCAAUGCCAUGCCACCACCAGAUGCACCCAACCAUGUGCUGAAAACUUGAAGUAAUUCAUAGACUUAUUUCAGGGUUCUCAACUUUAGAUUUCUUGUUGUUCAAGCAGGAAAAGUCUAUCUAAAACUGCAUUUAAACAAAACAAAACAAAACAACACAAAACAACAAACCCCAGGCCACCAAUCUGUGCUAAUCACUUGUCUUAUUUGCUUUGUAUUUUUCUGUGCUAGGUGUAAGUAUUAUAUUGAGAGGCCAAAUCCGUUCUAAGCAAGAGUCAAAAGGUGCUCUGGUUAAAUUUAGAAGCAAUUUGAAGGAAAGAAGAAAAACCUUUGCCAGGUUCAAAAAAAAGAGUAAUUACUCAAAUGGAGAAUAUAAGAUGAACAGUGAGCAAGUAAGGCAACUGUGGGCUUAUAGGAUAACUUAUGGGCCCACAGGAUAACCCAUGGGCUAUAGGAUAUUAUACCCCUGCUCUCCCUCCCCUGGAAGGCAACGAAUCUUGUAAUGCAUACUGUGUGCCAGGCAGUACAAACAUCAUCUCACAUUCAGAGCGGCAGCCAUGUGCAUUUUAGAUGACAAUGUCACUUGCCACAGAGAUGCUGGAAGUGGUACCAUGCACCUGUAAUUCCAGAACUCAGGAAGACAAUACAAGAGGAUAGGAAGUCCUGGCCAGCCUGGGCUACGGGACGAGACCCUGUUUCACUGAGCUAGCAAACAAACCGAACAAUAAUUGGUCUUUUUUUGUCUUUAGUUUUAUAGAAAUUACAUUUAUUUAUUUAUUUAUUUAUUUAUUUAUUUAUUUAUUUAUAUUUAGUGUGUGUGUGUAUGUGUGUGAGAGAGAGAGAGAGGUGGGGUGGGGAGCAGAGAGGACUAGAGAUGAGGAUGGGAAAGUGCGCUGGGCCAGUGGUUGUUGGGGAACAGCAGAGGUCAGAGCAAAGGUCAAGGUUGGUCGUUUUUAGAAAAUCUUCACCUUCCUGUCCUGCACAGCGUCUUUCUGGUAGCUAGUUUUUACUUUGAAAACACAUGCAUGUGUGCACUCUCUCCCUGCUAUGUGCAUGUGCUUGUGAGUGUGUGUGUGAGAGAGACAGAGAAAGACAGUCACACAGAGAGAGAAAGAGAGAGGGUGGGAAGGAGGAGGGAGAGAGGGAGAGGGGAGGGGGAGGAGAAUCUGUUUCCUAUUUCAGUAACUCUGGCUUUAUCUCUGCACUUCCCCUGAGGUGGCAGUGGCAGCUCACUCCCUGGCCCCUUUGCCGAUGUGAAGAGGGACAGAGCUAGACAUCUGUAAGCUGUCCAAGGAACAUUUGGGCCAUUCAGGAAGCCUGUAACGGGAUUUCUUUAAAAAUAGAUCUGUGCAGAGAGAAUAGAUGUGUUUAGAACUUAGCUGUUGACAUUCCAGUGUAAGAGCCUAACAAUUAAUCUCUCCCCUCCUGGACGCCUGGUCUAUAAACUCUCCUUCGCUGAUGCCAGACUUCUUUUCUUCAGCCUGCACUAACCCGAUCCAGUAUACGUAGGGCUCAGGGCCCCUUGAAAAUGCCAAGGCCUGCCCGUGGGAGAAUAGAGGGAGUUUAAAUGCAAAUGUAUUUCAGGUUUAUGAAUUGAAAGAAUUAAUGUUUUUGGUCCAUAAUGUUGACUGUCACCUUAACAGGCUCCAGAGUCACAGGAGUUAAACCUCUGGGGGUGUCUCUGAGGGAGUUGGAAAGGAGCCCUACCCUGGGUGUGGACAGCCCUGUGGUGCCAGACUGGGGUGCCGGUCUGAAUCUACAGUAGAACGUGAACUGAGCUCCAGCGUUCAUAUCUCCGCGUCUGUGGCCACGUGAACGGCUGCCUCCAGCUCCUGCUGCCACAGUAGACUGGAUCCUCAAAAACGCUAAGUCAAAACAAACCCUUCCUGCCUUAAGUUCCUCGCAUCAGGCAUUUCCCCACAGAAAUGAGACGAGCCGCUGAUAUACUGCCCACAGCAAGCUACAGAUCCCUACCGCAUCUUACAGAACAAGAAAAACAAAACCGCACCCUGAACAGACAAAGCAAUAUGGAGAAGAGAGAGAGAGAGAGAGAGAGAGAGAGAGAGAGAGAGAGAGAGAGAGAGAGAGAGAGAGAGAG
rnacentral:lncRNA from 1 species